rnacentral:tRNA from 1 species
GGGAGUGUGGCUCAGUGGUAGAGUGCUUGCCUAACAUGCAUGAAGCCCUGGGUUCGAUUCCUCAGUACUA